AGCUAAGCUCUUUUCAUAAUUUUCACAGCGCUGUACAUAGACCAUCCUCACUGGACAGAUAGAAGCGCCACGAAAAAUGAAUCAGCUUCUUCUCAUAAUUCGUCGGGUAGUUUUCUCCGCCAGCUUUCAUAGCAACCAACGCAGCAACUGUUCCGUGCUACCACUGUAAAAACCACGCCGGUAUGGCCUUGUGGACAAACGACCGGCUGGAAGGUUUCCGAUCUGGAGAACAGUGCAAAACACUGCCCGGACGGAUUCUGCUACACCUAUGAAGACGUAAGUUCCGUUCUCACAUUGCCUAACGGCCUACUCCAGUACAAAUAUACCAUCACCGACCAAGAGCCGACCAAGAGCUGUCAAUUCCGAGUGAAACGGGGUUGUGGUCAGUUUCCCUGCAACGAUUAUUAAGGAAAUUUAAAUGCUUCGGCACUAUGUGACGUCGGCAGCGACGGCUUCUGGGCAGACAAGGAAAUCCCUCUCCCGUUGGAACCGCCAUUCAAGUGGCUGUACUCCUCAUUGUCGGGGUGGUAGUCCUGAAUCGGACCGGUCGCCUGCAAUACUGCGAUUCCGACCGCAGUAACAAGGCCGCCACGCAUUUUGCGGUGGAUGCUGAACAUAAGACGGACGGCGGACAUCUUAUUGCUCCAUUUUUAUCAGGACAAUGUUUUAGCUGCAAAAUAAAUAAUAAUCUUUUCGGCGGAUUGCAGUAUCCCCUGAAGCAGGUGCACCCUUAUGCUGCGCCAACUGCAGCGGUCCGGUAAAUGGAUUUCCUGAAACCAUUUCCCGUUUUUAACUGAAACGUUCACCAGAUGUCUUGCGUCGAAAUGUCGCAAAGGUUAAAUGUCUCAAAGCAGUAUGUCCCAAAUCAAAUGUCCCAGCGACUAGAUGUCCCGCGGCGAGAAGUCG